GCCAGCAUGGCAUAGUGGUUUGAGCGUUAGACUAGGACUCUGGAGACCAGGGUUCAAAUUCCGACCCGGCC